rnacentral:rRNA from 1 species
CCUACGGGUGGCAGCAGUGAGGAAUAUUGGUCAAUGGCCGGAAGGCUGAACCAGCCAAGCCGCGUGAAGGACGAAGGUGCCAAGCAUUGUAAACUUCUUUUGUCAAGGGACAAAAUCAGGCUCGAGAGCCUGACCGAGGGUACUUGAAGAAAAAGCAUCGGCUAACUCCGGGCCAGAAGCAGCGGUAAAACGGAGGAUGCGAGGGUUAUCCGGAUUUAUGGGGUUUAAAGGGUGCGUAGUCGGACUGUUAAGUCAGCGGUAAAAGCCCGGGGCUCAACCCCGGCGAGCCGUUGAAACUGGCUGUCUUGAGAUGUCGAGAGGUAUGCGGAAUGCGCAGUGUAGCGGUGAAAUGCUUAGAUAUUGCGCAGAACUCCGAUUGCGAAGGCAGCAUACCGGCGGCGAUCUGACGCUGAGGCACGAAAGCGUGGGGAUCGAACAGGAUUAGAUACCCUUGUAGUC